UACAGAGGUCUCAAGCGUUGUUCGGAUUUAUUGGGCGUAAAGGGCGCGUAGGCGGCGGGGUAAGUCGGGUGUGAAAUCUCAGGGCUCAACCCUGAAACUGCACUUGAUACUGCUCUGCUUGAGGACUGGAGAGGAGACUGGAAUUCACGGUGUAGCAGUGAAAUGCGUAGAUAUCGUGAGGAACACCGAUGGCGAAGGCAGCCCCCUGGGCUAACACUGACGCUCAGGCACGAAAGCGUGGGGAGCAAACAGG
rnacentral:rRNA from 1 species